rnacentral:rRNA from 1 species
UACAUGUGGGGCAAGCGUUGUUCGGAAUUACUGGGCAUAAAGGGUGCGUAGGCGGUUUGUUAAGUCAUUGGUGAAAGUUUUCGGCCCAACCGGAAAAUGGCCUGUGAUACUGGCGAACUUGAGUGCGUGAGGGGUGGGGGAACGAGCAGUGUAGCGGUGAAAUGCGUAGAUAUUGCUCGGAAGGCCGGAGCCGAAGGGCCCCAC